rnacentral:ncRNA from 1 species
UUAAAACCGUUGACGAAGAGUAAGUACUUUUAGAAACUUGCUUUAAAGAGAGCUACAGAUGGUGAGAUUGUGGUAGGUAAAGGCUAAAAGGAAUGGGCUUUGGAGGGCAAACUGAAAUUUAGUAGGUGAGCCGGAGAUAACCUCCGUUAUCAAAGAUAAGCAUAUGUUUGUAUGCAUAGAGUGGACGUUUAACGUCAAGCUGGGUGGCACCGCAGAAGUUCGAUACUUUUGUCCCUGCA